UCGAUAGGUGACCUGCGGAGGGAUCAUU
rnacentral:rRNA from 1 species